CUACUGCGCAUGUGCAAAACCCCCGGAGCUAUGACGCGUGGAUGACGUAUGACACAACCUCCUUUCCAUAGGCCCUGACGGGAAUACACCUGGCGCUCGCGAAAGCCUCCGAAUACACAAGAAAACCAUACUGGAAUAUGUCAGCCUCCUUUUGCCAAUACCUCUGAUCCAAGUGUUUCCAAAGAAGUGACAUCAAGCCAACAAGAAUGACGGCACUGUACAGUGAUGAGGCGAGCUGGCAGAGCUGACAUUAAAUUAACUGGAGCUGUCAAGAAAGAAGAAGGACGGCCAGGAGAGGAAGAGGAAAAGAGAGAGCAGGGAAAAGAGGAAGAAAGUAAAAGAGGAAAUGAACAAGGAAGAGAGAGCGAGUGAUA